rnacentral:rRNA from 1 species
AUUGAACCCUGGCGGCAUGCCUUACACAUGCAAGUCGAACGGCAGCACGGGAGCAAUCCUGGUGGCGAGUGGCGAACGGGUGAGUAAUAUAUCGGAACGUGCCCAGUAGUGGGGGAUAACUGCUCGAAAGAGCAGCUAAUACCGCAUACGACCUGAGGGUGAAAGGGGGGGAUCGCAAGACCUCUCGCUAUUGGAGCGGCCGAUAUCAGAUUAGCUAGUUGGUGGGGUAAAGGCCUACCAAGGCAACGAUCUGUAGUUGGUCUGAGAGGACGACCAGCCACACUGGGAGUGAGAGACGGCCCAGACUCCUACGGGAGGCAACAGGGGGGACUUUGGGACGAUGGGCGCAAGCCUGAUCCAGCAAUGCCGCGUGGAGGAAGAAGGCCUUCGGGUUGUAAACUGCUUUUGUCAGGGAAGAAAUCCUCUAGGUUAAUACCCUUGGGGGGAUGACGGUACCUGAAGAAUAAGCACCGGCUAACUACGUGCCAGCCGCCGCGGUAACAC